rfam:Pseudomonas sp. GM78 PMI35_contig68.68, whole genome shotgun sequence.
UGUUAUGGCAGCUGUGCGUGGGACGCUUUCGGGCGUGCCGGUUUCCUUGAUCCCCGGUUUUCCAACCCGCGUACAGCUGCCACCCAU